AACCGGAGGAAGGUGGGGAUGACGUCAAAUCAUCAUGCCCCUUAUGACCUGGGCUACACACGUGCUACAAUGGACGGUACAAAGAGCUGCAAGACCGCGAGGUGGAGCUAAUCUCAUAAAACCGUUCUCAGUUCGGAUUGUAGGCUGCAACUCGCCUACAUGAAGCUGGAAUCGCUAGUAAUCGCGGAUCAGCAUGCCGCGGUGAAUACGUUCCCGGGCCUUGUACACACCGCCCGUCACACCACGAGAGUUUGUAACACCCGAAGUCGGUGGGGUAACCUUUUUGGAGCCAGCCGCCUAAGGUGGGACAGAUGAUUGGGGUGAAGUCGUAACAAGGUAGCCGUGUCGGAAGGUGCGGCUGGAUCACCUCCUUUCUAUGGAGA
rnacentral:rRNA from 1 species